AACGUACGCUGGCGGCACGCUUAACACAUGCAAGUCGAACGAAGUAGCAAUACUUAGUGGCAGACGGGUGAGUAACAUGUGGGUAUCUGCCCUUUGGCCUGGAAUAACACGAGGAAACUUGUGCUAAUACCGGAUAAGUCUUUACGGAGAAAGCUUUAUGCACCAUUGGAUGAGCCCGCACUUGAUUAGUUUGUUGGUGGGGUAAUGGCCUACCAAGACUGUGAUCAAUAGCUGAUUUGAGAGGAUGAUCAGCCACAUUGGGACUGAGACACGGCCCAAACUCCUACGGGAGGCAGCAGUGGGGAAUCUUGCACAAUGGAGGAAACUCUGAUGCAGCGAUGCCGCGUGAGUGAAGAAGGCCCUUGGGUUGUAAAGCUCUUUCGUCGGGGAAGAAAAUGACUGUACCCGAAUAAGAAGGUCCGGCUAACUUCGUGCCAGCAGCCGCGGUAAUACGAAGGGACCUAGCGUAGUUCGGAAUUACUGGGCUUAAAGAGUUCGUAGGUGGUUGAAAAAGUUAGUGGUGAAAUCCCAGAGCUUAACUCUGGAACUGCCAUUAAAACUUUUCAGCUAGAGUAUGAUAGAGGAAAGCAGAAUUUCUAGUGUAGAGGUGAAAUUCGUAGAUAUUAGAAAGAAUACCAAUUGCGAAGGCAGCUUUCUGGAUCAUUACUGACACUGAGGAACGAAAGCAUGGGUAGCGAAGAGGAUUAGAUACCCUCGUAGUCCAUGCCGUAAACGAUGUGUGUUAGACGUUGGAAAUUUAUUUUCAGUGUCGCAGCGAAAGCGAUAAACACACCGCCUGGGGAGUACGACCGCAAGGUUAAAACUCAAAUGAAUUGACGGGGACCCGCACAAGUAGUGGAGCAUGUGGUUUAAUUCGAAGAUACGCGCAGAACCUUACCAACACUUGACAUGUUCGUCGCGACUCUAAGAGAUUAGAGUUUUCGGUUCGGCCGGACGAAACACAGGUGCUGCAUGGCUGUCGUCAGCUCGUGUCGUGAGAUGUUGGGUUAAGUCCCGCAACGAGCGCAACCCUCACUUUUAGUUGCCAUCAUUAAGUUGGGCACUCUGAAAGAACUGCCAGUGAUAAGCUGGAGGAAGGUGGGGAUGACGUCAAGUCCUCAUGGCCCUUACGUGUUGGGCUACACACGUGCUACAAUGGUAUCUACAACAGGAGGCAAGACUGCGAGGUCAAGCAAAUCCUUAAAAGAUACCUCAGUUCGGAUUGCACUCUGCAAACUCGAGUGCAUGAAGCUGGAAUUACUAGUAAUCGUGGAUCAGCGUGCCACGGUGAAAUGCGUUCCCGGGUCU
rnacentral:rRNA from 1 species